GUAUAAUGGGUCAGCGACUUAUAUUCUGUAGCAAGGUUAACCGUAUAGGGGAGCCGGAGGGAAACCGAGUCUUAACCGGGCGUUAAGUUGCAGGGUAUAGACCCGAAACCCGGUGAUCUAGCCAUGGGCAGGUUGAAGGUUGGGUAACACUAACUGGAGGACCGAACCGACUAAUGUUGAAAAAUUAGCGGAUGACCUGUGGCUGGGGGUGAAAGGCCAAUCAAACCGGGAGAUAGCUGGUUCUCCCCGAAAGCUAUUUAGGUAGCGCCUCGUGAAUUCAUCUCCGGGGGUAGAGCACUGUUUCGGCUAGGGGGCCAUCCCGGCUUACCAACCCGAUGCAAACUGCGAAUACCGGAGAAUGUUAUCACGGGAGACACACGGCGGGUGCUAACGUCCGUCGUGAAGAGGGAAACAACCCAGACCGCCAGCUAAGGUCCCAAAGUCAUGGUUAAGUGGGAAACGAUGUGGGAAGGCCCAGACAGCCAGGAUGUUGGCUUAGAAGCAGCCAUCAUUUAAAGAAAGCGUAAUAGCUCACUGGUCGAGUCGGCCUGCGCGGAAGAUGUAACGGGGCUAAACCAU
rnacentral:rRNA from 1 species